rnacentral:lncRNA from 1 species
AUGGAAAACGGAAAGAAAAAAGGACCCUCUAGUUCUAUACACUCGUUUCCCUGGUUUUCCCUGGGUCCCGGAGCUUCUCAGCGCUGCUGGGUCGGGAACUUGCUCCUCCCCGACCUCCCAGCGGGUCUCUGGGGGAGGGGCUGCCGCGGAUGCUCAGGUGUGUGCACCUGGGGAGAUGCCCCGCCCCUGGGGUGCCGCUCAGGUGAGCUGUGGACGCGGGAGGCCCUGAGCCCUGGGGCCCCGCCCUCCCCCCCCCCCCCGCCCUCCUGGAACGGGGAGGAGCGACCACACCUGCAGGGGCUCCAGCUCCGGGGGCAGCUCCCCGCCAGUAACGCCCUGGCCUGGUGCUGGGGGGCCGGGGUGCUGCUCCGCACAGCAUGGGGGCGCCCCGUGGGGGGAGGGUCCUCCCCGGCCUGUGCCCGCCCCGCCUCCCCCACCGCAGGAGGGUCCUUGCCAUCCUAUGCCCUUGCUGCCUCCCCUCCCCCACCACCUCGCAGCAGGGGGGUCCUCCCCAACCCGCACCCUCCCUGCCUCCUCCCACUCCCAGGGGAGCGCAGAAUCCUGGCUGUGUCCCCCGGGUGCCCUGAGAUCCGGGCCCUGUGCCGCUGGACCCGCUCCAGGCCCCCUCUCCCGCAGGAUCGGGGCUCAGCCCCCUCCGCCCGGAGCCCCCCCAGGGAUCGGGGCUCAGCCCCCUCCGCCCGGAGCCCCCCCAGGGAUCGGGGCUCAGCCCCCUCCCCCGGAGCCCCCCCAGGGAUCGGGGCUCAGCCCCCUCCACCCGGAGCCCUCCCCAGGGAUCGGGGCUCAGCCCCCUCCCCCGGAGCCCCCCCAGGGAUCGGGGCUCAGCCCCCUCCCCCGGAGCCCCCCCAGGGAUCGGGGCUCAGCCCCCUCCGCCCGGAGCCCCCCCAGGGAUCCGGGCUCAGCCCCCUCCGCCCGGAGCCCCCCCAGGGAUCGGGGCUCAGCCCCCUCCGCCCGGAGCCCCCCCAGGGAUCCGGGCUCAGCCCCCUCCGCCCGGAGCCCCCCCAGGGAUCGGGGCUCAGCCCCCUCCGCCCGGAGCCCCCCCAGGGAUCCGGGCUCAGCCCCCUCCGCCCGGAGCCCCCCCAGGGAUCCGGGCUCAGCCCCCUCCGCCCGGAGCCCCCCCACUUCUCCCCGAGGCCCCGGGGCCGCGCUCCAGCCCUUCACCGAGACCCCGCGGGGUGGGUGCGCUCCCCCCGCGCCCUCCUCCCCUGGUGA